AGUGAACGCUGGCGGUAGGCCUAACACAUGCAAGUCGAACGGCAGCACAGUAAGAGCUUGCUCUUACGGGUGGCGAGUGGCGGACGGGUGAGGCAUACAUCGGAAUCUACUUUUUCGUGGGGGAUAACGUAGGGAAACUUACGCUAAUACCGCAUACGACCUACGGGUGAAAGCAGGGGAUCUUCGGACCUUGCGCGAUUGAAUGAGCCGAUGUCGGAUUAGCUAGUUGGCGGGGUAAAGGCCCACCAAGGCGACGAUCCGUAGCUGGUCUGAGAGGAUGAUCAGCCACACUGGAACUGAGACACGGUCCAGACUCCUACGGGAGGCAGCAGUGGGGAAUAUUGGACAAUGGGCGCAAGCCUGAUCCAGCCAUACCGCGUGGGUGAAGAAGGCCUUCGGGUUGUAAAGCCCUUUUGUUGGGAAAGAAAAGCAGCAGAUUAAUACCCCGCUGUUCUGACGGUACCCAAAGAACAAGCACCGGCUAACUUCGUG
rnacentral:rRNA from 1 species